ACGAACGUUGGCGGCGUGGAUUAGGCAUGCAAGUCGAACGAAUCCCAGGGGGGUAACUCUCUGGGGGAAGUGGCGAAAGGGGCAGUAAGGCGUAGGUAACCUACCCGGGGGACGGGGAUAGCCCUUCUAACGAAGGGGUAAUACCCGGCGAUCUGGCGAGAAGACAUCUUCUUACCAGGAAACGAGUUUCGCCUCCGGAGGGGCUUACGUGGUAUUAGCUUGUUGGCGGGGUAACGGCCCACCAAGGCCAAGAUGCCUAGCGGGUGUGAGAGCACGACCCGCGCCACUGGCACUGAGACACUGGCCAGACUCCUACGGGAGGCUGCAGUCGAGGAUCUUCGGCAAUGGGCGCAAGCCUGACCGAGCGACGCCGCGUGUGCGAUUGAAGGCCUUCGGGUUGUAAAGCACUGUCGAGGGGGAGGAACGCCCGCAAGGGCCUGACCUAUCCCUGGAGGAAGCACGGGCUAAGUUCGUGCCAGCAGCCGCGGUAAGACGAACCGUGCGAACGUUGUUCGAAAUCACUGGGCUUAAAGGGCGCGUAGGCGGGCAUCCAAGUCGGUGGUGAAAUCCUCCAGCCCAACUGGAGAAGAGCUUGUCGAUACUGGGUGCCUCGAGGGGUGCAGGGGUCUGCGGAACUUCGGGUGGAGCGGUGAAAUGCGUAGAGAUCCGAAGGAACGCCGGUGGCGAAAGCGGCGGACUGGGCACCUUCUGACGCUGAGGCGCGAAAGCCAGGGGAGCAAACGGGAUUAGAUACCCCGGUAGUCCUGGCCCUAAACGAUGGGUACUAGGUUGGAGGCUUACAUGGGCUUCCAGCCGGAGCAAAAGUGUUAAGUACCCCCGCCUGGGGAGUAUGGUCGCAAGGCUGAAACUCAAAGGAAUUGACGGGGGCUCACACAAGCGGUGGAGCAUGUGGCUUAAUUCGAGGCUACGCGAAGAACCUUAUCCCGGACUUGACAUGUCCGAAAGGGGCAGGGAGUAGGGGGCGGAAACGUUCCCCCAACGGUAUCCAGUCCGGAACCUGCCACAGGUGCUGCAUGGCUGUCGUCAGCUCGUGUCGUGAGAUGUUGGGUUAAGUCCCGUAACGAGCGCAACCCUUACCGUUAGUUGCCAUCAGGUUUGGCUGGGCACUUUAACGGAACUGCCGGUGAUAAGCCGGAGGAAGGUGGGGAUUGACGUCAAGUCCUCAUGGCCCUUAUGGGCUGGGCUACACACGUACUACAAUGGUGGUGACAGAGGGUAGCGAAGGGGUAACCCGGAGCGAAUCUCUAAAAGCCAUCUCAGUUCGGAUUGUCCUCUGCAACUCGAGGGCAUGAAGUUGGAAUCGCUAGUAAUCGCGGAUCAGCAUGCCGCGGUGAAUACGUUCUCGGGCCUUGUACACACUGCCCGUCACACCAUGGGAGUUGGUUUUACCUUAAGCCGGUUGAGCUAACCGUAAGGAGGCAGCCGACCACGGUAGGGUUAAUGACUGGGGUG
rnacentral:rRNA from 1 species